ACUCCUACGGGAGGCAGCAGUGAGGAAUAUUGGUCAAUGGACGUAAGUCUGAACCAGCCAAGUAGCGUGCAGGAUGACGGCCCUAUGGGUUGUAAACUGCUUUUAUGCGGGGAUAAAGUUGGGGACGCGUCCCUUUUUGCAGGUACCGCAUGAAUAAGGACCGGCUAAUUCCGUGCCAGCAGCCGCGGUAAU
rnacentral:rRNA from 1 species